CUUUUGGAGCCACAUUGACACUUUGUACUGAACGGGUUGAAUGCAUGAGUGCUGGUCAUGCUUAGUGGGCAUUCUAAUCUGUGGAUUUCAUGAUAUCAUUUCAUUUGCUAUGGAAAUUUAUUUCGAACUUUGUUUUUAGAUAAUCAUGUCAUUUCAUGUCAUCAUGUGUUUUUAAGA
rnacentral:lncRNA from 1 species